UAAAUCAAAUCCCUUAUGAUUGUACAGUGAAAGUGACAAAUAGAUUCAAGGGAUUAGAUCUGAUAGAGUGCCUGAAGAACUAUGAACAGAGGUUCAUGACAUUGUACAGGAGGCAGUGAUCAACACCAUCCUCAAGA